rnacentral:rRNA from 1 species
AUGAUGAUACCAUUUAAAUAUCAUAUGACUGAACAAAUAACCAUAUUUCCACUAGAAAUAUUUGCAGCAGCAGUAACAUCAUUCACAAUAGUACAUCAAUAUAAAAAAUAUUUAAAAAUUACACACCAUCAUUUAUACCUCAGCUUAAAUAUAGAUGUUGUUUCGAAUAAACUUAAGCGCCGCAAUAGUUCAAAAAAAAUCCGUCAGCAUGAACAUAUCACCGGUAAUAUAUCAAUGGAGUUAACCUAUUAUCACACGAACAUAAAUAUUAGACACGGAUUUUUUUUCUGCUAUCAAAAGCAUCCAAAUGGCACUUUGCAUGUAUGUGGUCGUCACCUCAAAAGGGACAUCGAAGAUCGAAACACAAUUUCUUCAAUCACGUCAUCUCAUCAUUGUUUGUUACUCAGAUGA